rnacentral:misc_RNA from 1 species
UUUCCGUAGGUGAACCUGCGGAAGGAUCAUUAUUGAGACUUCAGCCGGGGCGCCGCGGCGCUCUGCACCUGUGUAAACGCCGUGUUGCGGUGGCCGCGCGUGCACCGGUCCAAACCGAACCCCUGUGAACCUUACGGGAUGGCCUUGGUUAGCGCCCGGUCCCGUUCCGCUUUAUACAAGCACUUAUCAAAGAAUGAACUGAAGGCGGUCUGACCGCGGGAUAACAAAACUGAAACAACUCUCAACAACGGAUCUCUUGGCUCUC